rnacentral:tRNA from 1 species
UGGGAAGUACGCAAACAGGCAAAGCGGCUUGCCUUUGAAGCAGGUGUUUGGGGGUUCGAUUCCCUCCUUCCCAG